rnacentral:misc_RNA from 1 species
AACGCAAAUUGCACUUCUUUCGGGAAGUAUACUUGCUUGAGGGUUGGUCUACCAAAAAUCGUAAAUUUUUUUUACGGAUCUGGGUUUUCCGAGUUUUCUCGACUUUUCUCGACUUCGGUUGCCUAAAAUUUAUCUUGACAAUGAGGUAUCAAUUAGAAAUGUUCUACCUUACAUCUUGUAAGUUCAUUGAUAAUUAUACCUAAUUGUUACAUCGCGUUAUUCAUCUAGUACCUUUGAUUAGGUGAAAUAAUUCAAUUUUUUUUUAAUCCUACCUCAAGUCAAGUAAGGAUACCCGCUGAACUUAA